ACUCCUUCAUCCUCUGCUUCUUUUCCAUUUUAAUUCCUACCACUCUUCAUUUAUUCAUGUUCAGCUUAUUGAAACCUAUUUCCAAAGAGCUCUCCUGGUGUCAUAUUCCCUAUGCUCCAAUCCUCCUGCACACUAUGCCCAGGAGGAACCCGCUAAAGUAUGGAUUUCCACAGUUGGCUCCUGGUCAGAACCAUUUUGAGCCCCCUGUUAUCCAGCCGCUGAAGAAUAAAUCCCUUUAAAGCUUCCACAACCAACCUUAUUCCAGCAUUAUCAUCCAAAAUCCCCUAGAAUACCCUCCAUGGAAUACCCAGUAUCCCUCCUUUCUUUCCAGCUACACAUAAAAACAGCCCAUUCAAUUUCACUUCCUAAUUCUUGUGCUUGAUAUUCCCCCUACUUCAGUGUUUCCCAAACUUCACUCAUUCUGGUACCUCAUCAUGAUUUUUCCACUACCAAUUGCCACCUGAACUACUUUUUACUUAAUAUUUCCUGUAAAUUCACUCUUAUUUUAAGUAAGACAAAUAUUUGAAAGGUUAAUGUCUAUUAGUACCAUAAAUGAAAAAAGCUGAUAUCUAUUGUAAUAAAUAGGCAAUAACUAUAUAUAAAUGUUAUUUUAAAGCAGUAAUUAAAUUAAACUAAGUACUUUUUGCCUACUAACAUUUAUUGCUUAUUCUGUGAGUGUUAUAAAGGAAGCUUAAACAAGUGUUUGGAGAAGUUUAAGUCAUAUCAAAAACAACAAAACUUAUUUCUGAAGAAUUGAAACUAAGUCAAAAAAUAUAACUUUCUCAAUCUGUAAUCUUAAUGUUAUUGUUAUUGAUUGAUCAGUCCAUAUGUUUCCGAAAAUCAUUUAAUGUGCGAAAGUUUGGAAAACACUGCUGUACGUGAGAUACUUUCAUGACCUUUUCCUGCCCAUCUCAACUCUGCACAUUUUUCCAGGCCUGCUUAAAGUUCCACCACCUCCCACAAUGUCCUCUUGAAAUUCAGGGCACUGUGACUGCCCCUUCCUCUGGCAGCCUGGGUACGCGUCUCUUCUGUGUUUUAGGAAGUCACUCCACUCUGCUUCUGAAUGACUCAUAUACAUCUCAAGUUUAUUUAUUUAUUUAUUUAUUUAUUUAUUUAUUUAUUUGGUCUCCAGUAAUUAUAGUUGAAAGAAAGGUUUUUGAAGGUGUCUUUUUAAUCCCCUGAUACUGAGCAUCACACUUUCUGUGGAGUGACUCUAUGAACAGCAUGAAUGACUAAUGAAUUAGCACUUACUCUCUUUAACUAUUUAUGAGGUCAUAUCUCUGCUAGUAGAUAAGGAUCCCCUCAAGGGCUGUGCAUGAGUUUCUUCUAGCCUCUAAACCCAGCCCAGGGGGAGUAUAUUGCAGGAUUGCUAGAAAUCUUUGUCAAUUGAAUGAAUGACACUUCCUAGAGACACUACACCAUAGACGGCACUUGACAACAACAAAAAAAGCCACCCUUUUAGAAGUAUACAGUGUUCAGUGCCUCUGCAGCUUUCCUCCACCUUUGGAGAAUUACAAGUUUCAUUCUAAUUCUAUCCUGGACUUGCUGACAUAGGGUUUACAUUUAUUAAUAUAUGGCAUAUCACAUGUAAAACUCUGCACAGUCAUCUGAAAUGCUGGUUGUUAUCACCUUCACUUAUCACCAAAUGCCAUAAGGGAUGUUUAGUCUUAAUAGACACCUAGGCAUAUGUGUGGUCUUUCAAGAAAGAAUUCUCUAAAAAUUCAACAGACAUGUCUUCAAGUUCAAAAUUAGUAUAAUUCCAAAAUGUCUUUUGUCCUCCAAAUCAGCCAAUACAUUUUAAGAUAAGAUGGUGUUUAACAAACUUUGCCUUAAUAGUUUUUAUUAUCUCUAAAACACAAACAGAUAAAAAUAUUCUAUUUGUAAAUUAGCUACAAGGAAGUUGAGAAAACUGGAAUAAAUAAUAUUUUUGCUUUAAGUUUUAAAAAUGAGUCAUAACUAAAGCUUUUAAGCAAAUUGUAACUAAUAAUUAUGACUUCAUAAUUUCUAGAUUCUGUACACUACCCAUGAAAUCAUAUUAAAAAUCGCUAUUAUGAAUAAAAGAUAAUCAUGUAAUUAAGUUCAGGGGGGCAUAAAAGAAUCACCACUGAGGUUAAGACAACUUUAAGAAUAUACCUGAAAUUCAUCAUUAUCACCCAGUAAUUGCUAUGUAAAAACCAGACAUUAACAUAGAUAAGUCAAUAUCAAUCCUAAAUUAGACCCACUGAAUAUAGACUUAAGACAUUUUUAGGAAAUUAGGAAGACCUUUAAUAAAUGGAAGGCAUUGGAAUUUUCACUACAUGCUUUUUGAUCUUAAAAAUAAAUUUUUUAAAAUCUAUCUUUAUUAAUUGUGGUAAAAAACUUAACAUACAAUUUACCAUCCUAACCAUUUGUAAGUGUUUACACUUACAAAUUUUAAGUUCAAUAGUAUUAAAUAUAUUUACAUUAUUGUACAGUCUCCAAGUGUUUUCAUCUUGUAAACUGAAACUCUAUAUCCAUUAAACAACUCUCAUUUCUCCUUCCCCCAAGCCCCUGGCAACUACCAUUCUAAGUAUCAUUUAUGUGAGUUUGACUACUCCAGAUACCUCAGGCAGGCAACUGCACCCCUGCUUCCUGAGCCACCUGGGACUUGAAGUUCUACCACUGUGGCUCCAAAGCUGCCCAACUAGAAACCCCAAAAGGCAAGAGAACUACGAUACCCACAAUUCAGGCUCCUCACCCGAAACCAGAAGAGGGCGUAUGGCUAGAGUUUCACCCUAAGAAGAAAGGGGAAGCAGGUGGAAAAGCAAUUAAAAAAAAAUCAGAUUCUCUUUCGGUGAUUCAGAGCUGAAGGUGCCUCACUGCCCUGUGGAACAGGUGAAUAAAGCCUUCCCAGCAUCUCUCUCUAGCCUAUUAUCUCCUGUUAGACACAGCCCAGAAAAUGAAUAGAGACAAGUCCUGGCUGGGUCUGGGUUCAGAAACAUAAUAGAAGGAUUCAUCUAAUCUGUCGGCCACUGUGGAGGAAGUGAACCUUCUAGAUCCUGCUGACUCAUACAAUGAGUUUUGUGUGGACCAUCAGACAAAAGGGCUGGCUGGUGAAGGUGGCUGUUGUCUGGAAAUUCCUCCCAGCUCUCCUCUAAUUAUGUCAUAAGGACUGGAGGCCCCUUAGCCUGCUUGUGAUAACACGCAAGGAAAUAUGGGCCAACUCUUCACAUGAACACAAGAUAUUUCCAUGCUAGCCUUUUGCAAGUAACAACAGAGAGAGCUCUGUGCAGUUUUCACUGGAAUGCCUGUGGAUUGCUUGUGUCAUAACUGUAAUCUAAAGAGUUGUCCAUUUGUUGAUUCCUUUGUAUUUGUAUUGGUAGAAUUGCCACUAUCAAACCAAGAUCUUUAGCUGCCUUUGUAUCAACUUCUUUGGAGCUUAUGUGAUUUUCCAGAAAAUUUCCAAGGCAUAGUUUUGUCCCUAAGUCCCAUGAAUAUGUAAUAUUUUGUGUCUCUCUAUUAAAAUAGCACUUUUUGUGCAUUCCAUUAACAAA
rnacentral:lncRNA from 1 species